rnacentral:lncRNA from 1 species
AAAAAAAAGAAGCGAAAUCCUGAAGGGAUGAUUCCUGUUUCCCAAGGUGGGUUGACAUUCUGGAGUCUUUUGUCACUCCAAGGGAAAGUGCUUGGACCUGGGCGUCCACUUUAUUCACUGCAAUUGACAAACUCCCUGCAGGAGAAAGUCAUGUGGAACUCCAGGGUUGAGGAGAGUGAAGGAGUGUGUGUGUGCUUUAGGAAAAUUAAUGCAAUGCUUGCAAAAGAAAGAUUAUAUCUGGGAGACAUACCUAAUGGGUGUAAUUGCCACAGUGACUGAGUUACUUGGUCUCCCCUGGUCUCAGUCCUUGGUACACUUCUGUCCUUUGUCGCCUAUAUCGUUGGAAAGAAUCGCUUCACUGACUGCACAAUACUCUCUCCUUUAGUACAUAGCUAUGAAAAGUAUGGUGUCACUCAAGGUCACAAGCUCAAAUUGGUCGGAGUCCGCAAAGAGACGGGAGUCAUUACCUCGUUUGGUUGCUUAGCAGGGUUGAGCCAGCAAAUUAGCCACUUCCACGGAAGUUCUGCUGUACUGGCGUCCUACCCUAGUUAGCAUCUCAUCUCGCUUCUUGAUCACCAGCCUCAGAGAGAAAUGCCUGCCAGGACCUCGUGACCAUGAAUGUGCUGCCUUUGAAACAAAUCAAAACAACCAAACCAUUCCAAUGACGAUAAUAAUAACAACCCACCUGCAACAGUAACUGAAGAGGCAAGAAUGCAUCCUAGGCCUUGAAAGAGUCUUUCUUGGGCCCUAUCUCCUAGUAAGGAAGCCCAGGCAGAUCAUAAAAAGUCACAUGGAGAAGAAUCAGGGGCCCUUCCCCUGACUGAGCUCUUAGUCGGCAGCUAAUUGCACUUCUCUGGCCGUAUGAGUGACUCAUCGUGAAGCAGGUCUUGGUGCUCCAGUGCAGCUGCCGAAGAUGGUCUCUCGGGAACAGUUACGGAUCUCCCACGUACCAGAUCCCUGUUCAAACUUCCCAACUCGUGUGAGGUGGCACAUUUGCAGACCCAGUAGUGAGGAAGCUGAGGCAGGAGAAGAAAGAAUUCAAGGCCAACCUAACCGACAGUGAGAGCUCCAGACCACCCAGGGAGAUGUAGUGGGAGCACCUGUCUCAAACAAAUACAAAGUAACAAACAACAACAACAAAAAUCUUUCUUGUUUUAAGGUGUUUGUUAUUUUGUUACAGUGACUAAUGCCUAAACACAAUCUUCCCUCCUGCAACCUCUCUCUGC